AUUGAACGCUGGCGGCAGGCCUAACACAUGCAAGUCGAACGAGUGGCGGACGGGUGAGUAAUGUCUGGGAAACUGCCUGAUGGAGGGGGAUAACUAAUGGAAACGGUAGCUAAUACCGCAUAACAUCAGCUGUGCCCAGAUGGGAUUAGCUAGUUGGUGGGUAACGGCCAACCAAGGCGACGAUCCCUAGCUGGGCUGAGAGGAUGACCAGCCACCCGGGACCUGAGACCCGGUCCAGCCGCCUAGGGGAGGCAGCAGUGGGGAAUAUUGCACAAUGGGCGCCAGCCUGAUGCAGCCAUGCCGCGUGUAUGAAGAAGGCCUUCGGGUUGUAAAGUACUUUCAGCGGGGAGGCGUUACCCGCAGAAGAAGCACCGGCUAACUCCGUGCCAGCAGCCGCGGUAAUUC
rnacentral:rRNA from 1 species